rnacentral:lncRNA from 1 species
UAGCACUGAAGCUAGACACCUCUCCUCAGGUCCAAUCCUACACAGAUGGACGCACAUGAGGUACUAAACACAUUCUAACAACUCAUAAGAAACUCCCCAAAAACCCCUCUAAACAUCACUGAAACAUGCAUAGAAAACAGCCAUGAAAAAGGCUGGACAGGCACUUUCGGCGGCACCUUCGGCGGCCGAAAGUCUCCUCCAGAGACGAAACUCGGGUAGGUUCGGCGGCACCUUCGGCGGCCGAACCCUCUCUCCAGAGACGAAAGUCAGGCACUUUCGGCGGCCGAACAUUACCUUCGGCGGCCGAAAGUCUGCUUUCAAGCCACAACUCAACUUUCGGGGGCAAGGUUAGGCGGCCAAACCUAUGCAUCCAACGGCACGUUCGGCGGCCGAAACCACCUUCGGCGGCCGAACCUGAGUUCAUCAGAACUCAGCCUUUGCAUACCAGCCUCCAAAACCUUCCAAAACACCCCGAACCUCACAUACUCUCUCCCAAGCAUGCAUACACACUCCCACAAGCAUAGAGAGCAAAGAAACUAGCUUAAACUCCUCAACACAUCAUCACAUAACAUACAUUGGGCAUAAAACCCAC